rnacentral:rRNA from 1 species
UACAGAGGUCUCAAGCGUUGUUCGGAUUCAUUGGGCGUAAAGGGUGCGUAGGUGGCGCCGUAAGUCAGGUGUGAAAUCUCGGGGCUUAACCCCGAAACUGCACUUGAUACUGCGGUGCUUUGAGUACUGGAGAGGAGAUUGGAAUUUACGGUGUAGCAGUGAAAUGCGUAGAUAUCGUAAGGAAGACCAGUGGCGAAGGCGAAUCUCUGGACAGUUACUGACACUGAGGCACGAAGGCCAGGGGAGCAAACGGG